UUCAUAUAGACCGUACCCUAAACCGACACAGGUGGAUUGGUAGAGUAUACCAAGGCGAUUGAGAGAACUGUUCUUAAGGAACUCGGCAAAUUACUCCCGUAACUUCGGAAGAAGGGAGCCCCAGUGUAAGGCAACUUAUGUUGGGGGGCACAGACCAGGGGGUAGCGACUGUUUACCAAAAACACAGGCCUCUGCGAAAUCGAACGAUGACGUAUAGGGGCUGACGCCUGCCCGGUGCUGGAAGGUUAAGGGGAGAAGUGCAAGCUUCGAACUGAAGCCCCAGUAAACGGCGGCCGUAACAAUAACGGUCCUAAGGUAGCGAAAUUCCUUGUCGGGUAAGUUCCGACCUGCACGAAUGGCGUAACGACUUCCCCACUGUCUCAAGAACAGACUCAGCGAAGUAGAAUUCUCCGUGAAGAUGCGGAGUACCCGUAGUUAGACGGAAAGACCCUAUGCACCUUUACUAUAACUUCACAGUGGUAUUAGAGAUUGUCUGUGUAGCCUAGGUGGGAGCCUUUGAAGCGUUGGCGCUAGCUGGCGUGGAGGCAACAGGUGAAAUACCACCCUGGUAAUCUUUGAUAUCUAACCGAGUUCCUUCUAUCAGGAACCGGGACCCUGUGUGGUGGGUAGUUUGACUGGGGCGGUCGCCUCCCAAAGAGUAACGGAGGCGCGCAAUGGUGGGCUCAGAGCGGUCGGAAAUCGCUCGUUGAGUGCAAUGGCAUAAGCCCGCCUGACUGUGAGGCAAACAAGCCGAACAGAGACGAAAGUCGGUCAUAGUGAUCCGGUGGAUCCGAAUGGAAGGUCCAUCGCUCAACGGAUAAAAGGUACGCUAGGGAUAACAGGCUGAUACUCCCCAAGAGUCCACAUCGACGGGAGUGUUUGGCACCUCGAUGUCGGCUCAUCACAUCCUGGGGCUGGAGCAGGUCCCAAGGGUAUGGCUGUUCGCCAUUUAAAGUGGUACGUGAGCUGGGUUCAAAACGUCGUGAGACAGUUUGGUCCCUAUCUGCUAUGGGUGUUGGAAACUUGAGAGGAUUUGUCCCUAGUACGAAAGGACCGGGAUGAACAUACCUCUGGUGUACCGGUUGUAGCGCCAGCUGCAGUGCCGGGUAGCUAUGUAUGGACUAGAUAAGCGCUGAAAGCAUCUAAGCGCGAAACUAACCUCAAAACUAGGUUUCCCUGAGAGCCGUGGAAGACCACCACGUUGAUAGGACGCAUGUGGAAGAGCCGCAAGGCUUGAAGCUAAGUGUUACUAAUCGCUC
rnacentral:rRNA from 1 species